GCGGAGUUCGAUUUUUUAAGUUUUUUAUGGACUACCCCAUUUUUGUUUUAACCGAGAGUUCUUUUUUUUCUUCUUCAAUAUAUAUUUUUAUAAAUUUCCUGUUACAAAACUUUAAAUAUUUCGAAAAACUAAGGAUUUUCUUAUCCCAGGAAUAGAUUACCUUAGCUGUAUUUAGCACAACUUUUUGGAAUUUUGAAUCUUCAGUGCUAGUCAACUUUAUACUUGUUUGGCUUUACAACUAUUUUGCUCUGAGAGUCACUGAUGAGUCUUAUUCAGAUGAAACGCGCGUCUGGCGCAUAGAAUUAUAAUCCUGGUACCUUUGAUAACUAUUUAUAUACUUUAUUAUUCAGCAUAUGUAUUACUGUCCUGAGUGGUUUGUUUGUUUGUUUUUUUUUUUUGUACUGUAUUCCAGUCAUGUGAAUAAAUGUUGUCAUUUAGUGGUAUAUUUAAUAUUGUCAUAAAGCGCGAGGUUGACUAGCCACAAAAUCAGGUCCAACUGUAUUUUUUUUUCUUAUAAUGUCCUGUACCAAGUCAGGAAUAUGGCAGUUGUUAUCUAAUAGUUCGUUUCUAUGUAUGUUGCAUUGUCGUUUGUAUUUAUUACACUUCAGUGUUUCUGUUGUGUCCUCUUUUUUAGGUUGUAACCCGGAUUUGUUGAAGUUACAAAUAACCUCGGAAAAAACCCGUCAUGAAAAAAAUAUUUACACCCAACUUUAGUAGUUGCCACAAUAAUUUAAGAGAUAAGUACGUGUCGUUGUUUCUUCUAGGAAUGCGCCUAGUUUAUUGUUCAGAAUAUUGAUGCAUUUGUCGAGUAAAAUUCCAUGUGGUUUCAAAUUUAGAUUUUAUAUUCCAUGUCUACUAGGCUAGCUGAAUUAAAAUCAUAUUCUCUAAAUUCAUAUUAUAGUGAACCAAAUGAAAUCAAGCAUCAAAAUUCUCCAUCAAGGUGUUUAAUUA
rnacentral:lncRNA from 1 species